AGAGUUUGAUCAUGGCUCAGAAUCAACGCUGGCGGCGUGCCUAACACAUGCAAGUCGAGCGAGAAAGGGGGCUUCGGCCCCUGAGUAGAGCGGCGGACGGGUGAGUAACACGUGGGUAAUUUACCCUUGGGUGGGGAAUAACUCAGGGAAACUUGAGCUAAUACCGCAUCACAUCCCUGAUCCACAAGGAUCGGGGAUCAAAGCCGGGGACCCUUCGGGGCCUGGCGCCCAAGGAGAAGCCCGCGCCCGAUUAGCUAGUUGGUGAGGUAAUGGCUCACCAAGGCAACGAUCGGUAGCCGGCCUGAGAGGGCGGACGGCCACACUGGGACUGAGACACGGCCCAGACUCCUACGGGAGGCAGCAGUGGGGAAUUUUUGUCAAUGGGGGCAACCCUGAACAAGCAACGCCGCGUGGAGGACGACGACCUUCGGGUUGUAAACUCCUGUCGGAGGGGACGAAAGCGGUAGAGGUUAAUACCCUCAAUCGUUGACGGUACCCUACGAGAAGCC
rnacentral:rRNA from 1 species